UAAGUGUUUCCUGAAUCAAAAGCAAGCUUA
rnacentral:piRNA from 1 species